rnacentral:rRNA from 1 species
AGUCACUGACAUUAGAUACCCGGGUAGUCCAGGGUGUAAACGCUGCAGACUUGGUGUUGGAAGUCCUUUGGGGGCAUUCAGUGCCGGAGAGAAGUUGUUAAGUCUGCUACUUGGGAGUACGUCCGCAAGGAUGAAACUUAAAGGAAUUGGCGGGGGAGCACCGCAACGGGAGGAGCGUGCGGUUUAAUUUGGAUUCAACACCGUAAAACUCACCAGGGAAGACUGUUACAUGAAAGCCGAGAUGAAGACUCUGCUAGAUUUUCAG